CAGGUUCUCAUCUCAGUCCAUCUGUUCUUGUACUUAGUCUGCUGUUGGCGUGCUGCGUGACUCUAAUUGUUGCUCUUAUUGUCUACAUAAAACUAUCAGUUGUUGGACAUUGUGAAGGGGCAGAUACAGGCCCAUCUGGAAAAUGCAAGUCAUCGAGGAACCAGGCAACAGACACAGGUGCUCGUGGAGAUGAAGCCAAUUAUGUAGCUCUUAAUUUCUCCACAAGGAAGACAAAAGGUGUGAAGAAGAGAACAGAACCACCACCAGAGUGUGUGUACUCAGCUGUAAGAGGAGGUCGUCCCACACUGCAUGAAAUGUCUUAGAGCAGGACAUGUGUGUGUAGAGCUUGGACACAAUGUGCUUGCAUGACUGACAACAAAUUAACAUUGUGCAUUUGUUGGUUUUCAAGUUUUGUAGAUUUGACUAUUCAAGUUUUUAACCAUGCUUUUUGCAAACAUUUCUUAUAUGAUUUAAUAUAAAAUGUCUUUGUACAGAAAUUGUUCACAAUAAAGGCUUCACAAUAAAAUGGAGCCAUUUGUGCUUUUUACUGUAAAAUAUAAAAUAUGUAAACUUACUUUGGCAUACAUUUGAAAAAGAGCCUUUGUUUUGCACUAUGAAGUGACAGCUGAUGUGUUUGUGUGAAUGAUCGUAAUUUACCCAUU